rnacentral:rRNA from 1 species
UACGUAGGGCGCAAGCGUUAAUCGGAAUUACUGGGCGUAAAGCGUGCGCAGGCGGUUCGCUAAGUCAGAUGUGAAAUCCCCGGGCUUAACCUGGGAACUGCAUUUGUGACUGGCGGGCUAGAGUAUGGCAGAGGGGGGUAGAAUUCCACGUGUAGCAGUGAAAUGCGUAGAGAUGUGGAGGAAUACCGAUGGCGAAGGCAGCCCCCUGGGCCAAUACUGACGCUCAUGCACGAAGGUCAGGGGAGCAAACGGG